GACGAACGCUGGCGGCGUGCUUAGCACAUGCAAGUCGAACGGAAAGGCCCUGCUUUUGUGGGGUGCUCGAGUGGCGAACGGGUGAGUAACACGUGAGUAACCUGCCCUUGACUUUGGGAUAACUUCAGGAAACUGGGGCUAAUACCGGAUAGGAGCUCCUGCUGCAUGGUGGGGGUUGGAAAGUUUCGGCGGUUGGGGAUGGACUCGCGGCUUAUCAGCUUGUUGGUGGGGUAGUGGCUUACCAAGGCUUUGACGGGUAGCCGGCCUGAGAGGGUGACCGGCCACAUUGGGACUGAGAUACGGCCCAGACUCCUACGGGAGGCAGCAGUGGGGAAUAUUGCACAAUGGGCGGAAGCCUGAUGCAGCAACGCCGCGUGCGGGAUGACGGCCUUCGGGUUGUAAACCGCUUUCGCCUGUGACUAAGCGUGAGUGACGGUAAUGGGUAAAGAAGCACCGGCUAACUACGUG
rnacentral:rRNA from 1 species